UAUGGUUACAAUAGAGAAAGAGAUACACCUGUUCCCAUCCCGAACACAGAAGUUAAGCCUUUCAUCGCUGAUGAUACUUGGGGUGCAGACCCCCGGGAAAGUAAGUCGUAGCCAAUU
rfam:Filifactor alocis ATCC 35896, complete genome.